GACGAACGCUGGCGGCGUGCUUAACACAUGCAAGUCGAACGCUGAAGCUUGGUGCUUGCACUGGGUGGAUGAGUGGCGAACGGGUGAGUAAUAAGUGAGUAACCUGCCCUUGACUCUGGGAUAAGCCUGGGAAACUGGGUCUAAUACUGGAUACGACAUGUCACCGCAUGGUGGUGUGUGGAAAGGGUUUUACUGGUUUUGGAUGGGCUCACGGCCUAUCAGCUUGUUGGUGGGGUAAUGGCUCACCAAGGCGACGACGGGUAGCCGGCCUGAGAGGGUGAACGGCCGCAAGGGGACGAAGACAGGGCGCAGACGGCUACAGGGGGGAAAGGGGGGGAAUACGGCACAGUGGGAGGGAGCCUGGUGCGGAGGCUCCGAGCGAGGGAUGACGGGCGGGGGGGAAAAAACAUCGGUCGGGAAGGAAGAGGCGAUAAUAACGGUACGUGAAGAAGAAGCGCCGGAUAACUACGGG
rnacentral:rRNA from 1 species